GUUCCUGAAGUGCAAUGGAUAGCGCAUUGGACUUCUAAUUCAAAGGCGGUGGUUUCUAAUUCCACUUGGGAUG